GCUGGCCGGACGGACCGUGGUGAUUGAGAACAUUCGAGUGAACGAGUCGUUGGACGGCGGUGGAAUUGGAUUAAAGGAUUAUGAGGUUUCGUUUCUGAGGCUGGUGGACAAGCUGACUAACGGCUCUAAAGUUAAGAUCAAUGAGAUAGGGACUGCAAUACGACUGGUUCCUGGUGUGCCCGUGGGAGGAGAAUUU
rnacentral:SRP_RNA from 1 species